rnacentral:rRNA from 1 species
UGAGGAAUAUUGCGCAAUGGGCGAAAGCCUGACGCAGCGACGCCGCGUGGGGGAUGAAGGUCUUCGGAUUGUAAACCCCUUUCGGGAGGGAAGACGGCCUUAGACAACUAAGGCGGACGGUACCUCCAGAAGCAGCCACGGCUAACUUCGUGCCAGCAGCCGCGGUAAUACGAAGGUGGCAAGCGUUGUUCGGAUUUACUGGGCGUAAAGGGAGCGUAGGUGGUUAGGUAAGCCCUCCGGGAAAUCUUCAGGCUUAACCUGAAAAGGUCGGGGGGACUGCCUAGCUAGAGGGCGGGAGAGGAGCGCGGAAAUUCCCGGUGUAGCGGUGAAAUGCGUAGAGAUCGGGAGGAAGGCCGGUGGCGAAGGCGGCGCUCUGGAACGUUUCUGAUACUGAGGCUCGAAAGCGUGGGGAGCAAACA